CGGCAAGUUACGAAGGGCAUUCGGUGGAUGCCUUGGCACUGGAAGCCGAAGAAGGACGUUGCAGGGUGCGAUAAGCCGCGGGAAGUUCCCAAGCAAGCGUGGAUCCGCGGAUGUCCGAAUGGGAGAACCCGGCACGGGUCAUGCCGUGUCACCCCUGCCUGAACACAUAGGGCAGGGGAGGGAACCAGGGGAAGUGAAACAUCUCAGUACCCUGAGGAAGAGAAAACAAUAGUGAUGCCCCCAGUAGUGGCGAGCGAACGGGGCACAGCCUAAACCCGUGUGGUGGCAAAGCCGGCAGGCGUUGCCAUGCGGGGGUCGUGGGACGCAGCGGAGGGCUCUGCCGGGCCCUCGAGGAGUUACAAAGCGCGCGGAUAGCGGAACCGGCAUGGAAAGGCCGGCCACAGAGGGUAACAGCCCCGUACGCGAAAUCCGACGCGCCUCUUGUUGCUGUUCCCAAGUAGUGCGGUACCCGAGAAAUUCCGUACGAAUCUGCGGGGACCACCCCGUAAGGCUAAACACUCUCCAGUGACCGAUAGCGGACAAGUACCGUGAGGGAAAGGUGAAAAGUACCCCGGGAGGGGAGUGAAACAGUACCUGAAACCGAGUGCCUACAAGCCGUCGGAGCGGGUCCCUCGGGGCCUGUGACGGCGUGCCUUUUGAAGAAUGAGCCGGCGAGUCAGCGAUCAGUGGCGAGGUUAACCGGACGACGGGUAGCCGCAGCGAAAGCGAGUCUGAACAGGGCGUCGAGUCGCUGGUCCUGGACCCGAAGCGGUGUGAUCUAUCCAUGGGCAGGCUGAAGCGCGGGUAAGACCGCGUGGAGGGCCGAACCCACCUAGGUUGAAAACUGGGGGGAUGACCUGUGGAUAGGGGUGAAAGGCCAAGCAAACCCGGUGAUAGCUGGUUCUCCCCGAAAUGCAUUUAGGUGCAGCGUCACGUGUUCAGUAUCGGUGGUAGAGCACUGGAUGGACUAGGGGCCCAACAAGGUUACCGAAUUCAGCCAAACUCCGAAUGCCGAUACUCCAGAACGUGGCAGUGAGACUGCGGGGGAUAAGCUCCGUAGUCGAGAGGGAAACAGCCCAGAUCGCCAGCUAAGGUCCCUAAAUCUU
rnacentral:rRNA from 1 species